GGAUGCGAUCAUACCAGCACUAAAGCACCGGAUCCCAUCAGAACUCCGAAGUUAAGCGUGCUUGGGCGAGAGUAGUACUAGGAUGGGUGACGUCCUCGUGUUGCAUUCC
rnacentral:rRNA from 1 species